rfam:Takifugu rubripes genomic scaffold, scaffold_5438
CCAAAGGCUCUUCUAAGAGCCACCACAUCCCCUUUCGAGUAAAGU